rnacentral:rRNA from 1 species
CCUACGGGCGGCAGCAGUGAGGAAUAUUGGACAAUGGGCGCUAGCCUGAACCAGCAAAGCAGCGUGAAGGAUGACUGCCCUAUGGGCUGUAAACUUCUUUUAUAUGGGAAUAAAGUGCAGUAUGUAUACUGCUUUGCAUGUACCUUAUGAAUAAGGAUCGGCUAACUCCGUGCCAGCAGCCGCGGUAAUACGGAGGAUGCGAGCGUUAUCCGGAUUUAUUGGGUUUAAAGGGAGCGUAGGCGGGUUGUUAAGUCAGUUGUGAAAGUUUGCGGCUCAACCGUAAAAUUGCAGUUGAUACUGGCAGCCUUGAGUACAGUAGAGGUAGGCGGAAUUCGUGGUGUAGCGGUGAAAUGCUUAGAUAUCACGAAGAACUCCGAUUGCGAAGGCAGCCUGCUGGACUGUAACUGACGCUGAUGCUCGAAAGUGUGGGUAUCAAACAGGAUUAGAUACCCCUGUAGUC